AGUGAACGCUGGCGGUAGGCCUAAUACAUGCAAGUCGAACGGCAGCACAGUAAGAGCUUGCUCUUACGGGUGGCGAGUGGCGGACGGGUGAGGAAUACAUCGGCAUCUACUUUUUCGUGGGGGAUAACGUAGGGAAACUUACGCUAAUACCGCAUACGACCUACGGGUGAAAGCAGGGGAUCUUCGGACCUUGCGCGAUUGAAUGAGCCGAUGUCGGAUUAGCUAGUUGGCGGGGUAAAGGCCCACCAAGGCGACGAUCCGUAGCUGGUCUGAGAGGAUGAUCAGCCACACUGGAACUGAGACACGGUCCAGACUCCUACGGGAGGCAGCAGUAGGGAAUAUUGGACAAUGGGCGCAAGCCUGAUCCAGCCAUACCGCGUGGGUGAAGAAGGCCUUCGGGUUGUAAAGCCCUUUUGUUAGGAAAGAAAAGCAGCAUGUUAAUACCCCGCUGUUCUGACGGUACCCAAAGAAAAAGCACCGGCUAACUUCGUG
rnacentral:rRNA from 1 species